CACGUAUUUAGCCGUCACUUCUUCUGUUGGUACCGUCAUUUCUUUCUUCCCAACUGAAAGCACUUUACAUUCCGAAAAACUUCAUCGUGCACACGGAAUUGCUGGAUCAGACUCUCGGUCCAUUGUCCAAUAUUCCCCACUGCUGCCUCCCGUAGGAGUAAGGGCCGUGUCUCAGUCCCCUUGUGGCCGAUCACCCUCUCAGGCCGGCUACCCAUCAUCGCCUUGGUGAGCCGUUACCUCUCCAACUAGCUAAUGGGACGCAAAGCUCUCUCACAGCGCAUAUAGCUUUUCAUAAUUAUAGGAUGCCCUAUUAUCAUAAUAUUAGGUAUUAGCGUUCAUUUCUAAAUGUUGUCCCUAGCCGUGAGGCAAGUUCUUUACGCGUUACUCACCCGUCCGCCACCCAAAUCUAAGUUAAAACCCAAUUCAAGUUGACUUGCAUGUGUUAAGCUAUUCUGUCAGCGUUCAUCCUGAGCCAGGAUCAAACUCUA
rnacentral:rRNA from 1 species